AGCCUACGGGUGGCUGCAGUGGGGAAUUUUGGACAAUGGGCGCAAGCCUGAUCCAGCCAUGCCGCGUGCAGGAUGAAGGCCUUCGGGUUGUAAACUGCUUUUGUACGGAACGAAAAGACUCCUUCUAAUAAAGGGGGUUCAUGACGGUACCGUAAGAAUAAGCACCGGCUAACUACGUGCCAGCAGCCGCGGUAAUACGUAGGGUGCGAGCGUUAAUCGGAAUUACUGGGCGUAAAGCGUGCGCAGGCGGUGAUGUAAGACAGAUGUGAAAUCCCCGGGCUCAACCUGGGAACUGCAUUUGUGACUGCAUCGCUGGAGUGCGGCAGAGGGGGAUGGAAUUCCGCGUGUAGCAGUGAAAUGCGUAGAUAUGCGGAGGAACACCGAUGGCGAAGGCAAUCCCCUGGGCCUGCACUGACGCUCAUGCACGAAAGCGUGGGGAGCAAACAGGAUUAGAUACCCUGGUAGUCG
rnacentral:rRNA from 1 species